rnacentral:rRNA from 1 species
UACGUAGGGUGCAAGCGUUAAUCGGAAUUACUGGGCGUAAAGCGUGCGCAGGCGGUGAUGUAAGACAGUUGUGAAAUCCCCGGGCUUAACCUGGGAAUUGCGAUGAAGACUGCAAGGCUAGAAUCUGGCAGAGGGGGGUAGAAUUCCACGUGUAGCAGUGAAAUGCGUAGAGAUGUGGAGGAACACCGAUGGCGAAGGCAGCCCCCUGGGUCAAGAUUGACGCUCAUGCACGAAAGCGUGGGGAGCAAACAGG